AGGAGCCUGUUUUUUCAUACGGUUCUAAGAACACCAGGAGCCUGUUUUUUCAUGCGGUUCUAAGAACACCAGGAGCCUGUUUUUUCAUACGGUUCUAAGAACACCAGGAGCCUGUUUUUUCAUGCGGUUCUAAGAACACCAGGAGCCUGUUUUUUCAUACGGUUCUAAGAACACCAGGAGCCUGUUUUUUCA